AUGCGCGAAAGUUGCGCUGAUUCAACUGGGCGUGUGUCUUUUCCAUGUCUCGACAAGGCAUGUUCUAGGUUCGGGACGGCUGCAUUUACUUUCAAUUCUCAGGUAAGGCAAGCCAUACAACGAGUGACUGCUCUAGUUGACCAGCUCGACUUCAUUAUUUACAUGAUUAUUAAAAUGGAACAUUUCGACGACACCGAGGCCACCGCAGGUAAGUGGGGGAAUCCCACCCAGACCAACCCUUUUCCCUGACAAGAGACUGAAAAGAUGGAAUGCAGCACAACAUGUUCUCAGUGUAGUGUAUGGUUGACUUUACACUGUGUAGUGUAUGGUUGACUUUACACUGACAUAUUUAAUACUUGUGCUUUGAUUGUCAACUCGUUCUGCAAUACGAUGUUCCAGUCACGUGUCGUACAAUACCCGUAACUUGCUGAAUAAACACUAAGCCAAUUCCUAGGAUUUUGAAUCUCGAUUGAUUCUUUUCGAGGGGAGCUACAGUAAUAGCACCCAAAUGGACCUCCAAAAUAUUUAGGCUAGUUGGGGGGGCCAUACAUAAACCAUUCACUUGUGUGCCUUGCAUCAUGUUUUAGUCUCGAUAGAAAUGUGUUAUCGAACCCGGGCCUGAAGUUUAGGAUACAAGUGACGCCACAGAAUUGGACAUAUGUUUCAUGAAUAAAACACAUGCAAAUAUCAUUUUGAGAUGGUAAAAGCAAAACGUUUAUUCAGUUCAUGAUACAAAAGAGUCUCACAGUAAGCGCCAAAACACACACGUCUUUGAUUUUGUAGGCCGCAUACAGACCCUGGAUCGCGAAACGGUUCAAACGUGACUCGAUUUCAGUUCGUUUUGCGCUCACUGCAUAUAGCACAAAGCAGUAUACAGCAAAUCACCAAUAUGCACCCACUAUCUGUUCCGAUGGUGUACAUGUUCUAAUUUGUUAUUCAAUAUGUCCACAAGGUGAUCCUAUUAUCAGACAAAAGGAUAUAUACACAUCCCUUAGUUCUGGGAUUUUUUUUUUUUACACUGAUCCUCCUCCACUGUCAUUAACUUAAAGAGCAGGGAUUCCCCGUUAAAUCGACAAGUCCCUGACAAUAAUCCUUAAAAUGGCACAAAUCUCAUCCAGAACAUUUUUUACACGUCUCAAAAUGUCUUGACGGGUAUAGAAGAGUCUCCGGGGCAGAUGCCACCAACUCGGACAAAGCACGCCAACGCCAUCGGACUUGGAUAAAGAAGCUCGGUCAAUGGGGGAAAAAAAUCUAAAAUACGACAGGAUCAUAAUUAAACAUUUUAAUGUCGAUCAAACUGGGAACAGUGUCUGAUUUACUCUUUCUACCUGUGAAAUAAACUAUUAUUAGCGCCAUGUCCAUUUGCGGCACAAUGUGCAAGUCUCCCAAAUGGCACCCUAUUCCCUAUAUAGUGCACACAUUUCCCCCCCAGAGCACUAUGGGUCCUGGUCAAAAGUAGUGCACUACAUAGGGAAUAGGGUGCAAUUUGGGAGGUGUACUAUAUCCAAAAGUCCCUAUAGUCUCCUGUAACCCCUUUUGAUACAUGCAUCUCUAUUACAGUAGGACGUCUGAUAAGUGUGUUCUCUAUUCCCGCUAUUGUGAUCUUUAUUCAAUAUGAUGAGAAAAUGACUCGACUGGCCACGGAGCAGUGAACCCUAUCAACACAGCUGUCUGAGUCAAUAGGUCCCUUUUGAGUAGAAUGAAAUCAUGUUCUCACUUUCCCUGUUAAUUCCGUGGAUGACUGAAAC
ensembl:lncRNA